rnacentral:rRNA from 1 species
GACGAGGGGUCCUAGCGUUGUUCGGAAUUACUGGGCGUAAAGCGCAUGUAGGCGGCUUGAUAAGUCGGGUGUGAAAUCCCUGGGCUCAACCCAGGACGUGCACUCGAUACUGCCAAGCUUGAGUAUGGGAGAGGGUAGUAGAAUUCCUGGUGUAGUGGUGAAAUACGUAGAUAUCAGGAGGAAUACCGGUGGCGAAGGCGGCUGCCUGGCCCAAUACUGACGUUGAGAUGCGAAAGCGUGGGGAGCAAACAGG